rfam:Fukomys damarensis contig93975, whole genome shotgun sequence.
CUUUGGGUUUUUUUAAAAACCACAUUAAAUUGAAAAACAAAAAGUA